rnacentral:rRNA from 1 species
UGAGGAAUAUUGGGCAAUGCCCGCAAGGGUGACCCAGCAACGCCGCGUGGAGGAUGAAUGUCGUAAGAUUGUAAACUCCUGUUAGAGGGGAAGAAUAGUACCGGUUGGACCGGUAUAUGACUGUACCCUCAGAGAAAGCCCCGGCUAACUACGUGCCAGCAGCCGCGGUAAUACGUAGGGGGCAAGCGUUGUCCGGAUUUACUGGGUGUAACGGGCGCGCAGGCGGGAUAAAAAGUCAGUGGUGAAAUCCUACAGCUUAACUGUAGAACUGCCUUUGAUACUUUUAUUCUUGAGUUCGGGAGAGAGAGACGGAAUUCCAGGUGGAGUGGUGAAAUACGUAGAUAUCUGGAAGAACACCAGUUGCGAAGGCGGUCUCUUGGUCCGACACUGACGCUGAGGCGCGAAAGCGUGGGGAGCAAACA